rnacentral:rRNA from 1 species
GUAGGGAAUAUUGGGCAAUGGAUGCAAGUCUGACCCAGCCAUGCCGCGUGGAGGAAGAAGGUCCUCUGGAUUGUAAACUCCUUUUUUGGGGGAAGAAUAGUUCUCUUGCGAGGGAAUGUGACGGUACCCUAAGAAUAAGCCACGGCUAACUACGUGCCAGCAGCCGCGGUAAUACGUAGGUGGCAAGCGUUGUCCGGAUUUAUUGGGUUUAAAGGGUGCGUAGGUGGUUUGAUAAGUCAGUGGUGAAAGCUGGUUGCUCAACAAUCAAGUUGCCAUUGAUACUGUCUGACUUGAGAGAAGUGGAGGUUCAUGGAAUGGAUGGUGUAGCGGUGAAAUGCAUAGAUAUCAUCCAGAACGUCGAUUGCGAAGGCAGUGGGCUGUACUUUAUCUGACACUGAGGCACGAAAGUGUGGGGAUCAAACAGGAUUAGAUACCCCUGUAGUCC